AACGCGUAACCCUAAAAUUGUCUGCAGCCUCACAUUUUUGUAGAACAAAAUUUCUUUGUUCAAUCUUUUAGAUCUCAAAAUUAUUGUCUGAUUUCUGAUGAUGGAUUGUUCGAGAUCUCAAACCAACACCAUUAGGUUGCAACAGAAUUUUUGGUAAUUUCUACCUUCCGUUGGAAGAUUUGGUUAUUCAAUCCAAUGGUGGAAUCUCAUGACUCUCCUCUAUACAUGUGUGGAUGAUAUGCCUUGAUAUCUUUCUUCUUUUAAAACAAGAUCCCGAAUCACCCGGCAGCAAGAACGCGGUGGGGUUAUGAUCCUGACUCGUGACACACUAAUCAAGGGGCUGUGUGUAAAACUGGAGUUGUUGCAUCUGGGACACUUACACAGGCAUUGUAAAACUGGAAUUGCAGAGGGCGAUGGGGAAGGGGCAUUCUAAAACUGGAGUUGCAGAGGGCGAUGGGGUACCAAACCUAUGUAUUUUAUAUUGAGUACCAAGGACACGCAUUCUAUAGCUGAACCUCACUUCAGAUUCAGCUCACCAAACUAAUUUCAAUACUAAGUUGAGUGCAAGUUUCCAAAAGCUUUGCCAUUUUCACCAGUAAACUCGGAAGUUUGAGCUCAGCAUCACAUCAUACCAUUUCUUCAAUACAAACAACGUUGAGAUGAGACAGAAUCCUACUUUCCAAUCAUCUCCAACGUUUACUCAAAUUGGCUAUCCAAACAAGGGAAACAAAUGAUGAAUGCUAGUAUUGCUGUACACCAUUUGAAGUUGUUUUAAAUAUCUUGCAUGGACAGUCAUUUUAUGUGAUGACUACAUUUUCUUUAUGUAUUGAUGGCUAAGUUUAACACGAUUUCCUUA